ACACCUGCCGGGGAGCGGCUUCGUUACCGGCGGGGCCCGGCAGCGAUGUCCGAGAGCCCCGCAGCCGCCGCCACGCCGGGAGCAGCGCCCAGCGGUGGAGCUCCCAAGGGCUCUUACUGACACUGCAGCUGUGUUUGCCCACUGCCAGGAAGCUCGAGGGCUCCUUCCUUGCUCACUCCAUAGGCAGGGACCCAGCCAGGACCUCGAGGGGAGCACGGUCCUGCCCCGUCCCUUCAGAGCAUCCUCUGCCCUGUCUGGCCCUGGCGCUGAUCCAGAAAUCACCAAGUCUCUGCUUUGGUGCUGAGCCCCCCACGUCACAGCAGCCGCCACAUAGCAGGCAGGGCCCGGAGAAGGGAAUCUGCUGCCCAGCAGCGCCGCUCCAGGGAGGUAGGGUGGACGGUGCCCCUCCCCAUGGCGGCUGGGCCCCCACGUAACGCCAGCCAAACUGGACACCGUGGUCCCACGAGAGAAUCCCCCCGGCCAGAGCCCACCCGCCUGCCACCUCCGGCCCAGCCCAGACUCAUCUGUCACUGCCUGUCCCC